GCUUAUCACCAUUCCAGAUUGAAUAUACCCGAUCUCGUCUGAUCUCGGAAGUCAAGCAAUCUCGGGCUUGGUUAGUACUUGGAUGGGUGACCGCUUGGGAAUACCAAGUGGGAGAAGCA
rnacentral:rRNA from 1 species